CCGCCCCCAGGUGUCAUCACUCCCUGACGGCGCUCACCGACUAUAAAAAUCAUCUUUAAUGGAAGACUGGUCCAGAACCCAUUGCUCCCGUUACAUAAUGGGGAAGAUCCAUCCUAAUGGCUUGCAUUCUGGUUAAGAAAACCCUGAGAGCUCCAUCUCCGAGGUCCUGGUGUCUUUGCAAAAGAGAUCAGGAAACCACUCAUCCCGUGACCCCAGCUGUCUGGUGGCUCUGAGAAGUCAGUUGUCUUCCAUCUGGACAGCUUUUUCCCUCAAGUACCUUCCUUCAUUAAGAGCUCCCGGUAUUUAGAGUUCGUAAGAAGCUGCUGGAAUGGAUGAAAAACUGUUCACCAUCAGAUCAGAGAACUGUGUAUACAUGCUUUUUGGCUGAACCCCAGUGAUGAUCCGUUCCGUCUGUUCAUGUCGAGGAGCAGAUCAUAUGCAAGAUCACAGUACCUUUACAAACGACCAGAUCAGUCAAGUUUAUGUCAACUGGCCCUCAAGCCUAGGAACUGAGACACAGAGAUACAUUGCCGAAAGUCUCACUUAGACAGAGCUCUUCUGAUCCAAAGACCUCUGGGGAUGGCCAGAGGGGAAAACAACCAGCUGAAUCAACUGGUAGUGACAAGUUCCUGGUAAACAGCUGUAUGGGACAAGCCAGCAUUGCCUGAUCUAGGGAGGAAUCCCAGACUGACACCGGACCAACACAGGAUGCCUGAUCUAAGAAUCUCUAUUUAUUUUAUUUUUCAUAUCCUUGUAGACAUAGAGCAAGCAUAUGACAUAUAAUUUAGCUUCAAUAAAUUAAAAGAAUAAAAGUUUUGGCUUAAAGUAACAUUAAAAAAACAUUUUCAUUG